UCUGGCAGCAAUAGCGGAGAGGUUACACCCGUUCCCAUUCCGAACACGGAAGUUAAGUCCUCCAGCGCUGAUGGUACUUG
rnacentral:rRNA from 1 species